GGCUAUAGCUCGGUGGUAGAGUGCUUGCCUAGCAUGUAUGAGGCCCUGGGUUCAAUCCUCAAUGCUA
rnacentral:tRNA from 1 species